AUUGUAUGAUGGGGACACUUUCUAAGCAUUUUCUUCAAAUGUUCCCAAUUCUCAUAAAAUUCCUCACCAUCUAGUUGAGAGAAACUAGUGAUGACUCAUCUUAUGCU